GACGAACGCUGGCGGCGUGCCUAAUACAUGCAAGUUGAGCGCUGAAGGUUGGUACUUGUACCAACUGGAUGAGCAGCGAACGGGUGAGUAACGCGUGGGGAAUCUGCCUUUGAGCGGGGGACAACAUUUGGAAACGAAUGCUAAUACCGCAUAAAAACUUUAAACACAAGUUUUAAGUUUGAAAGAUGCAAUUGCAUCACUCAAAGAUGAUCCCGCGUUGUAUUAGCUAGUUGGUGAGGUAAAGGCUCACCAAGGCGAUGAUACAUAGCCGACCUGAGAGGGUGAUCGGCCACAUUGGGACUGAGACACGGCCCAAACGCCUACGGGAGGCAGCAGUAGGGAAUCUUCGGCAAGGGACGAAAGUCUGACCGAGCAACGCCGCGUGAGUGAAGAAGGUUGUCGGAUCGUAAAACUCUGUUGGUAGAGAAGAACGUUGGUGAGAGUGGAAAGCUCAUCAAGUGACGGUAACUACACAGAAAGGGACGGCUAACUACGUG
rnacentral:rRNA from 1 species